ensembl:lincRNA
CAGAAUUAUUUCAUUUUGAUAUUACUACCAGCAACUGGAGAAGGAACAAAGACCCAGUCUGGAUACUUAACUCCAUGGACACAAAAGAGAACAAAAAGAUAUAGGAAGAGGGAGAGCACUUUGGAAAAGUUGCCAUAGUUUUGAUAAGCCGAAUGAGGGAAAGCAAAAUGCUCCAACAGAAGAGAAGAGAGAGAGACAGAAAGAGAGAGACGAAGAGAGAAGCAGUACAUGACAG